GCCAGGCGCGGUGGCGCGUGCCUGUAAUCCCAGCUACUCGGGAGGCUGAGGGUGGAGGAUCGCUUGAGCCCAGGAGUUCUGGGCUGUAGUGCGCUAUGCCGAUCGGGUGUCCGCACUAAGUUCGGCAUCAAUAUGGUGACCUCCCGGGAGCGGGGGACCACCAGGUUGCCUAAGGAGGGGUGAACCGGCCCAGGUCGGAAACGGAGCAGGUCAGUUAAGUUGUGUUCCCACUCAGGGGAAAGGUAUCUUGGGCCAUCUCUCCAGGACAUGCCUUCCUCCCUGUCCUGGAGAGCCUGUCUGGUCCAUCCUGCU
rnacentral:SRP_RNA from 1 species